AUGCAUGGGGAGAGUGCUGAGGUCUCCAGGGCCACCCGCUGGUGCCCCCCGGUAGCGGGGACCAUAAAACUGAACUCUGAUGCUGCGUUCCAGGCAGGUAGUGGAGACUCUCAUGCUGGUGCCGUCGCGCGGGAUCACAAUGGGCUCAUCCUCAUGUCGCUAUCAAAAAGGAUUGCUAAUUGUAAUGCAGUGGAGGAAGCCGAGGCACAUGCCCUGCUUGCAGGCUUGAGAGCACUGUCCCCGAUGUACAGAGGACCGAUCAUCGCAGAAUCUGACUGCACUUUCGUCGUGAAAGAGCUCAGACUGGGAGGCUCCAACCGAUCGGCGUGGAAGUCUGUGUUUACUGAUAUUAUGGAGGAGCUCAAACUUUUCAGCGAAGUUCAGAUCGUAUACUCUAGGCGUGACCAGAACAAACUUGCCCACUCCUUGGCCGCUAGAGCAAGGAGGCAUGAGGAUAUGCUGAUGGUGGCAGGUGUACCGAAUGAUCUGAAUGCGGUUUUAGCCGCCGACGAGGUGGUGGCUUAG
rnacentral:rRNA from 1 species